rnacentral:rRNA from 1 species
AGAGUUUGAUCCUGGCUCAGGAUGAACGCUGGCGGCGUGCCUAACACAUGCAAGUCGAACGGAACUUUUAAGGAACAAGACUUCGGUCAAGUGAGAUUUAAGUUAGUGGCGGACGGGUGAGUAACGCGUGAGCAACCUGCCUUUCAGAGGGGGAUAACGUCCGGAAACGGACGCUAAUACCGCAUAACAUGGAGAUAUCGCAUGAUAAUUCCAUCAAAGAUUUUAUCGCUGAGAGAUGGGCUCGCGUCCGAUUAGGCUGUUGGUGAGGUAACGGCUCACCAAGUCGACGAUCAGUAGCCGGACUGAGAGGUUGAACGGCCACAUUGGGACUGAGACACGGCCCAGACUCCUACGGGAGGCAGCAGUGGGGAAUAUUGCACAAUGGGCGCAAGCCUGAUGCAGCAACGCCGCGUGGAGGAAGACGGUUUUCGGAUCGUAAACCUCUGUCCUUGGUGAAGAGGAAGAGACGGUAGCCAAGGAGGAAGCCCGGCUAACUACGUGCC